AGUGCACCAGUGGGGUCCCUCAGCCUGGCCUGCGCCCUCUUGCAAUCUGGGAACCCUCGGGGGAUGUCGGAGAGCUGGUUUCAGCCCAAUCCCACAGGCCAGGCUGAGGGACCCCACUGGUGCACA
rnacentral:pre_miRNA from 1 species